UUUUUUUUUUUUUUUCCCUCAAAGCCAUUGCAGGAUUUUAAGAGGAGAAAUGGAUUGAUUGGGCGUGGCUAAAGCUCGGGAAGAUAACAAAGUAGAAGCAAAGACCUCUGAGAAGAGUUCAUGAAUCUCUCUUCACUGCCACUGGCAUACAAAUAUUCACAGUGACCUUGUUGCUUAAUUUCUUGCAUUGGAAUUGAAUAAAAACUUGGUCUAAAAGGUCAAUUUUAAAAUAUGCAUAAUAAAUUCCCUAACUAAAAGUGA